rnacentral:rRNA from 1 species
UCAGUAUCCCAAGGCGCGUGAGAGAACGCUGGCUAAGGAACUCGGCAAAAUAGCACCGUAACUUCGGGAGAAGGUGUGCCCGCCGACGUGACGGAACUUGCUUCCUGAGCGUUGGCGGGUCGCAGUGAAAUGGGGGUUGCGACUGUUUACCAAAAACACAGGACUGUGCGAACUCGUAAGAGGACGUAUACGGUCUGACGCCUGCCCGGUGCUGGAAGGUUAAGGGGAGAGGUUAGCGCAAGCGAAGCUUCGAACCGAAGCCCCAGUAAACGGCGGCCGUAACAAUAACGGUCCUAAGGUAGCGAAAUUCCUUGUCGGGUAAGUUCCGACCUGCACGAGGGCGUAACGACAUCCCUACUGUCUCGGCCAGCGACUCAGCGAAAUUGUAUCGGGGGUGAAGAUACCCUCUACCCGCGGCAAGACGGAAAGACCCCAUGAACCUUUACUGCAACUUGGCAGUGAGGUUCGGAACAGUCUGCGUAGGAUAGGUAGGAGGCUUUGAAGUCGGGAUUCCGGUCUCGAUGGAGCCGUCGUUGAAAUACUACCCUGGCUUUUCUGGACUUCUAACCUAGGCCCCUCAACGGGGUCGGGGACACUGCCUGGUGGGCAGUUUGACUGGGGCGGUCGCCUCCCAAACAGUAACGGAGGCGCGCGAAGGUACCCUCAGGCUGAUUGGAAACCAGCCGGCGAGUGCAAUGGCACAAGGGUGCUUAACUGUGAGAGGGACACCUCGAGCAGGUGCGAAAGCAGGCCAUAGUGAUCCGGUGGUCCCGCAUGGAAGGGCCAUCGCUCAUCGGACAAAAGGUACUCUGGGGAUAACAGGCUGAUCGCGCCUGAGAGUCCAUAUCGGCGGCGCGGUUUGGCACCUCGAUGUCGGCUCAUCGCAUCCUGGGGCUGGAGCAGGUCCCAAGGGUUUGGCUGUUCGCCAAUUAAAGCGGUACGCGAGCUGGGUUUAGAACGUCGUGAGACAGUUCGGUCCCUAUCUGCCGUGGGCGCAGGAUACUUGAGAGGAGCUGUUCAUAGUACGAGAGGACCUGAACGGACGCACCUCUAGUGUUCCGGUUGUCAUGCCAAUGGCAUAGCCGGGUAGCUAUGUGCGGAACGGAUAACCGCUGAAAGCAUCUAAGCGGGAAGCCGGCCUCAAGACAAGGUAUCCCGGGGCAUAAGCCCCCUGAAGGCCCCUUGAAGACUACAAGGUGAUAGGCGGGAGGUAGAAGCGCAGCGAUGCGCGGAGCUGACCCGUACUAAUAGGCCGUGCGGCUUGACCUA